GUUGCGUCUCCGUCUCUCAAUCGCGGCAAAUGGUGACCCCUACGUGAUUCUUGGUGAAGAGUCCGUCGGAGACAGAUAAUCACCUAUCUGGUGGCGUGCUGCGAGUCCCGCAGAACUGAAGGAGCUGCUGAAACGAAGCAGGAAAAGCCGGCUAAUCGCCCCCGUCUGGAACGAGAGAAAGAGGUCCUCGUUGGAUUCCAGCAAAAAGGGUGAGACCCUUUAGAGAGACAUUACAGCAGCGGUCAGCGGAAGACACCUUGGAAUCGGUGAGCGAAGAUGAGAACACCGCUCCUGAAUGACAUCAAUUUUGAAAAUCAAUAAGCAGGAACUUUAGUAUCCCCAUUGAAGACUGUGUAACUGUUGGAUCUUUAGUUAAAGACAUGGGCAAAGGAAUAGUUGCAAUUAUUAUGAGCAUGGCCGUGAGCAUAACGGCAAGAUUUGAUUUGCACCAUGUCGACCCUCGUGCUAAUGUAUGGCUCACAUGGGCCAAUCGCACCGGGACUACAGACUUUUGUCUGUCCCUGGCACAAGUUGGUGAUCCGUUUAGAACAUGUUUAAUUGGUUAUCCAUAUGUAAACCUGGAUGAUUUUUUAGGUUAUGUGAAUAACUCUGAUUUGUCGAAUAACCUUAAUAGCACAUAUUGGCAAUGGCGAACAGAUAAUAGUCGAGGAGAGUGUAUAAAGAGUAGCUACUGGCCCGUAGAACAAGGAGCUAUGUUUCAGCAAGGAUUAAUCCAGAUGCUCAAUAUCUCCAACCCAUUACCAUUUCAAGAGCUAGAGCUCUGGGGCUCCUUCCCUCCACAAGGGGAAUGGCAGAAUAUUUCAAAUCGCGCGAACUGUUCCGGGAUGAGCCCCACAAUUUUACCUGUUAAUGGGACUGGAGUAGUUUAUUUUGGUGAUGGAUGGAAAAGGUUUUUAGCCCAAAAUGGUGAUAAAAAAACAUUAAACUUAUUAAUGUAUUAUCAGAACGUAACAGGCCGCAGGUAAUUGGAGGAACAUGAAAAAAUUAGCAUGUUGGGCGGUUAAAGAGUUUAAUACAACCUCUGACAUCUUGUCAGGACUAGCCCAAGAUGUAGAUAGCUUGCGACAUGCCGUAUUACAAAAUCGUGCCGCUAUAGAUUUUCUUUUGUUAGCCCAUGGACAUGGAUGUCAGGAAUUUGAAGGGAUGUGUUGUAUGAAUCUGUCCGAUCAUUCUGUGAGUAUUCAUAAGCAAAUUGCAGAGCUGCGAGAAAGGAUUCACAAUGUACAAGAAGGAGUGGAUGGAUUUGAUGGAUGGUUGGCAUCUUGGGGAAUUACGGGUUGGCUGAAAGACUUACUUAAACAAGGAGUUUUGAUUCUUUUAGUAGUUUGUAUAUUAUUGGUAAUGAUUCCAUGUAUUUUGCAGUGUUUACAAAAAUCUUUAGCUGCCUCUGUCAAUAAGAUUCUUUUUGUACAACAGCAAGACCUGACGAAAGCUCCCAUUACAGAAGAGCUAGUGAAACGAAAUGUCCUUGAACUAGUCGGACGCAAACCUUGGGAAGCAGACGAUGCUUAAAAACAAAAAGGGGGAGAUGUGGGCUAUGUGGAGAUAAAAGUUAUUUGAGCUUGUGGAAUAUUAGUGAUUGUAUAUAUUGUAAGACAUAAAGUUAGCUUUGGCCUUUGGGCUUGUUGUGUCAGUAUGAAGAAGUAUUGAGGACAGUGGAAAAUUACAACAUGCAGAAGUUGAUACAGAAGAACAGGAACUUGUGGUUACAGAUAAGAACAUUCUGUUUAGCAAUAGGAUCUUAGGACCCUGUUAAGCAAACUUUGAAACUUAUCUAGUCUUGCAACAUAAUAAUCUCUUGGCAGGGUCGUAUGUUUUUUAUUAGCCUAUCAGGAGCUCAGCUUCUGAGAUGUGUAUGAGAUGAUUGGUUGAUUGUACCAAUCAGCGUGUGACACGCUGGCUUUGGGAGUAUAUAAAUAUGCUGUUUGUGAAUAAUAAAACAGACACCUUGCUUGCAUCAA